rnacentral:rRNA from 1 species
ACUCCUACGGGAGGCAGCAGUGGGGAAUAUUGCACAAUGGGGGAAACCCUGAUGCAGCCAUGCCGCGUGUGUGAAGAAGGCCUUCGGGUUGUAAAGCACUUUCAGUCGUGAGGAAGGUAGUGUAGUUAAUAGCUUCAUAUUUGACUGUUAGCGACAUGAAGAAGCAACGGCAUAACUCCGUAGCCAGCAGCCGCGGGUAAUACGGAGGGUGCGAGCGUUAAUCGGAAUUACUGGGCGUAAAGCGCAUGCAGGUGGCUUGUUAAGUCAGAUGUGAAAGCCCGGGGCUCAACCUCGGAAUUGCAUUUGAAACUGGCAGACUAGAGUACUGUAGAGGGGGGUAGAAUUUCAGGUGUAGCGGUGAAAUGCGUAGAGAUCUGAAGGAAUACCGGUGGCGAAGGCGGCCCCCUGGACAGAUACUGACACUCAGAUGCGAAAGCGUGGGGAGCAAACAGGAUUAGAUACCCUGGUAGGAUAGCGU